GACGAACGCUGGCGGCGUGCUUAACACAUGCAAGUCGAGCGGUAAGGCCCUUUCGGGGGUACACGAGCGGCGAACGGGUGAGUAACACGUGGGUGACCUGCCCUCAGCUCUGGGAUAAGCCCGGGAAACUGGGUCUAAUACUGGAUAUGACUCCAUGACGCAUGUUGUGGGGUGGAAAGCCUUGUGCGGCUGAGGAUGGGCCCGCGGCCUAUCAGCUUGUUGGUGGGGGAUGGCCUACCAAGGCGACGACGGGUAGCCGGCCUGAGAGGGCGACCGGCCACACUGGGACUGAGACACGGCCCAGACUCCUACGGGAGGCAGCAGUGGGGAAUCUUGCGCAAUGGGCGAAAGCCUGACGCAGCGACGCCGCGU
rnacentral:rRNA from 1 species